GCAAACCUACACCACCUAAUAGGACACGUACAAAUGUGACAGAUACCAGAGCAUAAAGCUUAACCCUCACUCUGCAGCUUACUGGUUUCUAUAAUUUUGCUGAAUUUAUCAAGUCUGUGCACCAUUUUGAUUCUAUUGAAAAUCACGUACCGCCAUCGGUAGAGCUGCUACUUUUAAAAAAAUGUGAGCUCAAAUGAAUCUUUAUACUCAAUAUUUGAGGCCGCAUGGUCUCUAUGCGGAAUUUAAGACAACCACAAAAAUGACCAAAAGAUUCUAUUGAAAACCAUCAUGUAUGGCCAUCGGUAGAGCUGCUACUUUAAUAUACACAAUAUAUGGAGCAUACUAUACAGCACAAAUAAAUAUGUGUUCAAAUUCUG